rnacentral:rRNA from 1 species
UACAGAGGGGGCAAGCGUUGUUCGGAAUUACUGGGGUAAAGGGCCGGGUGGCGGGCUUCUUAGGUGGACGUGAAAUCCCCGGGCUCAACCCGGGAACUGCGUCCGAUACUGGAUGGCUUGAGAUUGGGAGAGGGAUGCGGAAUUCCAGGUGUAGCGGUGAAAUGCGUAGAUAUCUGGAGGAACACCGGUGGCGAAGGCGGCAUCCUGGACCAACACUGACACUGAGGAGCGAAAGCCAGGGGAGCAAACGGG